rnacentral:lncRNA from 1 species
UAACCAAAAGGGUGUAAGAGAUGUUAGUAAAAACCCCCUUUGGUGGCCGGCCUUUGUGUAGUUUAGAGAGUUAUUUUUCUUUUGCCUCUUUGUUGUUUUAACACACAAAAACCCUAAUGAACUUUAUCUCUAUAAAGUUGCUUAUAUAGACAAAAAGAAACCUAGUCAACACUUGACUAAAUAUCUCACUCUUUUCACACCUAAAGUGGCCGGCCUCUUUGUUGUUUGUUUGGGCUUUGGGCUUUUAUUAUUU